AUGUAAAUGAAAAUGAAAUUGAUAACUGGCAUCUUUAAAAUAUUUUAUAAGAUGCAGAUAAUUGCAUAAAAUAAUAGGAUAUAAAGAGGAACCAUUUUGAUGUAUAGGAAAUAGUGGCUCAUAUUAUUUAAAAGACAUUGUCUCGAAAGGCUAAGGCGCUACGCCGUCAAAAGUUACUAUAGGGAUUGAUUUUGCUACAUGUUACUCAAUUUUAAUGAUUGCCAAGCUCCGGGUGGGGUUAUGUCGUCACUCCAGAGUAUACAAGCUGAUCAAACUUGGCCAACUCGGCCAGCCUUCUCUCUCGGCCCUUCGUUCGCGGUGUUGCAGAAUAACUGGAAAUUAGCAGAGAAAGGCAGUGUCAAACAAUUAGUUCAAAAUUUCAGAGAAAAAACAAUAUAUAACAUGCAAAUCAAGAUCAAGCCGAUCCUCAUUGUAGCGGAGAACUGCCGCUACAAGAACCACUAGGAUCAGCUCGGUCGCAGCACCGUCAACCGAUCGCGCCGCAAAUUUCUUGCAACGUGUCCACUACACUAACUAUAUUUCAGACUAAUUUCAGUCCUAGUUACGGUGAAAAGCAUUCGAAGCGCAUACCUUUCCCUAACGUUGUCUAAAACGAUCGCAGACGAUCGAGAAAGGGGUUGGAGAUUUCCGUUUCGUGUACGAUGCCAUACGAGAAAUGCCGCAGAUCGUGGGGACGAUAUCGACUGAUCGGCGGCCGAAUGACAGCGUGGUAAUGCGUUGGCGUGCCAUGUAGAAAGACCCGAGUUCGCGUCCGAGGUCU
rnacentral:lncRNA from 1 species